CCUACGGGUGGCUGCAGUGAGGAAUAUUGGUCAAUGGACGGAAGUCUGAACCAGCCAUGUCGCGUGCAGGAAGACGGCCCUACGAGUUGUAAACUGCUUUUGUACAAGGGUAAACCUGAAUACGUGUAUUCAGCUGAAAGUACUGUACGAAUAAGGAUCGGCUAAAUCCGUGCCAGCAGCCGCGGUAAUACGGAGGAUCCAAGCGUUAUCCGGAUUUAUUGGGUUUAAAGGGUGCGUAGGCGGAGUGAUAAGUUAGCGGUGAAAUGUCCGAGCUUAACUCGGGAACUGCCUUUAAUACUGUAGGUCUAGAGAGUAGAUGCGGUAGGCGGAAUGUGUGGUGUAGCGGUGAAAUGCUUAGAGAUCAUAAGGAACACCGAUUGCGAAGGCAGCUUACCGAGCUGUGUCUGACGUUGAGGCACGAAAGCGUGGGGAGCAAACAGGAUUAGAUACCCUGGUAGUC
rnacentral:rRNA from 1 species